AUGAACGCUGGCGGCGUGCUUAACACAUGCAAGUCGAACGGAACUUGUAAGAGGAAGUCUUCGGAUGGAAACUUACUUGUUUAGUGGCGGACGGGUGAGUAACGCGUGGGUAACCUGCCUUACACAGGGGGAUAACAGCCGGAAACGGCUGCUAAUACCGCAUAAGCGCACAGUGCUGCAUGGCACAGUGUGAAAAGAUUCAUCGGUGUAAGAUGGACCCGCGUCUGAUUAGCUAGUUGGUGGGGUAACGGCCUACCAAGGCAACGAUCAGUAGCCGGCUUGAGAGAGUGAACGGCCACAUUGGGACUGAGACACGGCCCAAACUCCUACGGGAGGCAGCAGUGGGGAAUAUUGCACAAUGGGGGAAACCCUGAUGCAGCGACGCCGCGUGAGUGAAGAAGUAUUUCGGUAUGUAAAGCUCUAUCAGCAGGGACGAAUAAAUGACGGUACCUGACUAAGAAGCCCCGGCUAACUACGUGCCAGCCGCCGCCGUAACAC
rnacentral:rRNA from 1 species